rnacentral:rRNA from 1 species
GCCCUAGUAACGGCGAGUGAAGCGGCAACAGCUCAAAUUUGAAAUCUGGCGUCUUCGGCGUCCGAGUUGUAAUUUGCAGAGGGCGCUUUGGCAUUGGCAGCGGUCCAAGUUCCUUGGAACAGGACGUCACAGAGGGUGAGAAUCCCGUACGUGGUCGCUAGCCUUUACCGUGUAAAGCCCCUUCGACGAGUCGAGUUGUUUGGGAAUGCAGCUCUAAAUGGGAGGUAAAUUUCUUCUAAAGCUAAAUACUGGCCAGAGACCGAUAGCGCACAAGUAGAGUGAUCGAAAGAUGAAAAGCACUUUGGAAAGAGAGUUAAAAAGCACGUGAAAUUGUUGAAAGGGAAGCGCUUGCAGCCAGACUUGCCUGUAGUUGCUCAUCCGGGUUUUUACCCGGUGCACUCUUCUAUAGGCAGGCCAGCAUCAGUUUGGGCGGUUGGAUAAAGGUCUCUGUCAUGUACCUCUCUUCGGGGAGAACUUAUAGGGGAGACGACAUGCAACCAGCCUGGACUGAGGUCCGCGCAUCUGCUAGGAUGCUGGCGUAAUGGCUGUAAGCGGCCCGUCUUGAAACACGGACCAAGGAGUCUAACAUCUAUGCGAGUGUUUGGGUGUCAAGCCCGAGCGCGUAAUGAAAGUGAACGGAGGUGGGAACCUUUCGGGGUGCACCAUCGACCGAUCCUGAUGUCUUCGGAUGGAUUUGAGUAAGAGCAUAGCUGUUGGGACCCGAAAGAUGGUGAACUAUGCUUGAAUAGGGUGAAGCCAGAGGAAACUCUGGUGGAGGCUCGCAGCGGUUCUGACGUGCAAAUCGAUCGUCAAAUUUGGGCAUAGGGGCGAAAGACUAAU